AACGCUAGCUACAGGCUUAACACAUGCAAGUCGCGGGGUAACGAGAGGGAAGCUUGCUUUCCUUGUCGACGACCGGCGCACGGGUGAGUAACGCGUAUCCAACCUGCCCAUUACCACGGGAUACCCCGUCGAAAGGCGGCCUAAUACCGUAUGCAGUCGUCAGAUGACAUCAGAGGACGACGAAAGGAUUGGCGGUAAUGGAUGGGGAUGCGUCUGAUUAGGUAGUUGGAGGGGUAACGGCCCACCAAGCCAUCGAUCAGUAGGGGUUCUGAGAGGAAGGUCCCCCACAUUGGAACUGAGACACGGUCCAAACUCCUACGGGAGGCAGCAGUGAGGAAUAUUGGUCAGUGGGCGCGAGCCUGAACCAGCCAAGUAGCGUGAGGGACGACGGCCCUAUGGGUUGUAAACCUCUUUUAUGCGGGAAUAAAAUGUUUGACGUGUCAUUCAUUGUAGGUACCGCAAGAAUAAGGACCGGCUAAUUCCGUGCCAGCAGCCGCGGUAAUACGGAAGGUCCAGGCGUUAUCCGGAUUUAUUGGGUUUAAAGGGAGCGUAGGCCGCAAGUCAAGCGUGUUGUGAAAUGCAGGGGCUCAACCUCUGGAUUGCAGCGCGAACUGGCAUGCUUGAGUACGCACGAGGUAGGCGGAAUUUGUGGUGUAGCGGUGAAAUGCUUAGAUAUCACGAAGAACUCCGAUUG
rnacentral:rRNA from 1 species